AGUGUUGCCAUAGACAUUUAAUUGCCGCUUAACAAAUUUAUUCUCCUUUUGCUUUGUUUUCCUUUUGGCUUUGGAUCCGUGAAUAAUGACAGCUAAAGCUUGUAUUCAUUUCACGAGAUUUCGGGUUUUUUUUUGUCGAAUUAAUCGACGACGAAACUGAAUCGAAACGGUAGACGAUAUAGAAUGAAUUUUGUUUAUUUUUCGAUUUUUCAAUGUGUAAGACUUCGACGGCUGCCGGUUGUAUGGAAAUUGGGCGCCCUUGGCUGACUUCCGCGUUACGAUGAAAUUCUGUUGUGAUUCCGGAUUCUGUUUGAAUUUUCAAUAAAAAAAAAAAUAGUG